CCUACGGGACGCAGCAGUAGGGAAUCUUCCACAAUGGACGAAAGUCUGAUGGUGCAACGCCGCGUGAGUGAAGAAGGGUUUCGGCUCGUAAAGCUCUGUUGGUAGUGAAGAAAGAUAGAGGUAGUAACUGGCUUUUAUUUGACGGUAAUUACUUAGGAAGUCACGGCUAACUACGUGCCAGCAGCCGCGGUAAUACGUAGGUGGCAAGCGUUGUCCGGAUUUAUUGGGCGUAAAGCGAGUGCAGGCGGUUCAAUAAGUCUUAUUUGUAAGACUUCGGGUCAAACCGGGAAAU
rnacentral:rRNA from 1 species